GUGGGGAAUCUUCCGCAAUGGACGAAAGUCUGACGGAGCAACGCCGCGUGAGUGAAGAAGGUUUUCGGAUCGUAAAGCUCUUUCGUUAGGGACGAACGUGCUCUUUGUGAAUAAUGAGGAGUAAUGACGGUACCUAAAUAAGAAGCCACGGCUAACUACGUGCCAGCAGCCGCGGUAAUACGUAGGUGGCAAGCGUUGUCCGGAAUUAUUGGGCGUAAAGCGCGCGCAGGCGGGAUAUCAAGUCUGUCUUAAAAGUGCGAGGCUCAACCUCGUGAGGGGACAGAAACUGGUAUUCUUGGUUGUCGGAGAGGAAAGUGGAAUUCCAAGUGUAGCGGUGAAAUGCGUAGAGAUUUGGAAGAACACCAGUGGCGAAGGCGACUUUCUGGACGAAAACUGACGCUGAGGCGCGAAAGCCAGGGGAGCGAACGGGAUUAGAAACCCCAGUAGUCC
rnacentral:rRNA from 1 species